GCCUUCGUGGUGUAACGGUAGCACACACUAGCGCGUAUUCGAGAAGCUCAGGUUCGAGUCCCGGCGAGGGCA
rnacentral:tRNA from 1 species